rnacentral:tRNA from 1 species
AGUUAAUGAACUUGUAAAAGUAUAUACCUUGAAAGUAUAAAAAAGAAGUUAUUCUUCUAUUAACUUU